rnacentral:tRNA from 1 species
GCGCCGGUGGUGUAAAGGCGUAGAGCAUUCCCGCCCGGCUAGCAGGAGGUGCGGGUUCGAGUCCCGCUUGGCGCU